rnacentral:rRNA from 1 species
AUGGCAAACACUACUUUAAAUGGAUCAAUGGACAGCUGGACUUACUCGUGGGGCUCGAAAGUUUACUCUGCGCACAGAUAUUACACAUACUACUUCAGAGACAUGCAUGCUCAUGACACGUUCAAGUGGAUAUGGAAAUCAAGGGCCACGAUGAAAAUUAAAGUUUUUGGUUGGCUCCUCCUGGUUGAUCGGUUAAACACUCGCAACAUGCUCAAAAGAAGGCAUUAUAAUAUUGGAGAGGAUCACAGCUGCCUUCUCUGCGACUCUCCCGAUGAAGAAACUCUGGAACAUCUAUUUUUUGAGUGCUCCUUCAGCUUCCAUUGCUGGGAAGCCCUUCAUAUUCCCUGGGCUGCGGGGGAGACAACAAUCCAAAGGAUAUCAGAGGCCAAACUUGGUUGGAACCGACCCCUCUUCAUGGAAACAUUUCUGUUGGCUGCUUGGAGUAUUUGGAAGGAGAGGAACAACAAGCACUUUAGGAGAAUUGCACCAUCAAAAGAAUCCUGGCUAAGAAGAUUCAAGGAAGAUUUUUCUCUCCUCACUCAUAGGGUGAAGGAGAAGCACAAAGACUCUAUCCCCUCUAUCCUAGCCUCUAUAGUCUAG